UACGGAGGGAGCUAGCGUUGUUCGGAAUUACUGGGCGUAAAGCGCACGUAGGCGGCCAUUCAAGUCAGAGGUGAAAGCCCGGGGCUCAACCCCGGAACUGCCUUUGAAACUAGAUGGCUGGAAUCUUGGAGAGGCGAGUGGAAUUCCGAGUGUAGAGGUGAAAUUCGUAGAUAUUCGGAAGAACACCAGUGGCGAAGGCGACUCGCUGGACAAGUAUUGACGCUGAGGUGCGAAAGCGUGGGGAGCAAACAGG
rnacentral:rRNA from 1 species